UACCUGUCAGCUUUGAGUGAGCGACCGGUUGGAAACAACCGAAAACAGUAACAGGAAUUGAACUGAAGAGUUUGAUCCUGGCUCAGAUUGAACGCUGGCGGCAUGCCUUACACAUGCAAGUCGAACGGCAGCACGGGCUUCGGCCUGGUGGCGAGUGGCGAACGGGUGAGUAAUACAUCGGAACAUGUCCUGUAGUGGGGGAUAGCCCGGCGAAAGCCGGAUUAAUACCGCAUACGAUCUGAGGAUGAAA
rnacentral:rRNA from 1 species